UCCAGCUAAGCAGCUCCUUUGCCAGGUUCAGUUUAGAGUGAGACUAAUGCUCAGGAUACUUUUCCCCCUUCCAUUCACAGACUGUUCAGCAGAAAAAUGAAUUAGAGCAAGCACGGAUGAGCCUUGCUGGUCUAUCAGUCUAGCAACCCCAUCCCAAGAUGAAGUGAGUGUCUGUUCAUUUCCCAGUGCACGUGUCCAUCAAUGAAUUACUUGUUCAAGUCAACCAAAACUUCUGCCACCCACAGGUACAUGCCCUAGAGACAAGCAAGAGCCCCGAGGGUGGACAAUGGCUGCAACCUGUCCUUUCUGCUGUGACACCCAUGCCUUGACCAAGCAUAGGAAAGAAUGAAUUAUACAGACAGAAGGCAGGACAGCCCAAUGACUGGGCUGAGACUAUUGGCUGUGAGGUUCCAGAAUCAUCAUUUCUGCUGUGGUCAGAAAGGAGUGGAAGAAACCGGACAUUGCUGUUCUGUGUUUUCACCAAGGGAGAAAAAGCCACACUUAAUUCCUUUCUAUGCAAAUACCAAGGGCUCAGGGAUCUUCUGGCUUGGAAAGUGCAGCAAGGACCCCCUCAAGUCUCUCAACAAUUCCUUAAGCUUCAGAAACUCCCCACUGGGUUCUCAAACCCCAUGGUCUGCCAGUACUCCCUACUGCUCCACAGCAGCUGCAGAGUUAACCAUGAAAAAGCCACCAAAUGCUGCUCACAGAGGCUGUUUUCACAGCAUAAUUAAACCCAGGCACAAACACAAGGCACAACCUUAGCAUGGAGAUGUGCAUGUGGCACUUUUCAGUGCUGUGCCUCGGGCGUCUGUGCAUCUUAUAAAUCACUGUCCUCAUCUUAUUCAAUGGCAAUGAGAAGUAAACAUGUUCUCAGGAAGAACCAAUCUCCACAUUGUAAAACUGUAACCAGAUCACUGAAGAGCAAGCAGGAUAACAUUAAAGUACAAAAACACAGAUUGCACAGAAAAAGCUCGGCGGUCCCUUGCAGAAGAGGCAGGAGUGACGAGGGACCUGGUAACAGGGAACCAUGAAGACAGGAACAAUCGGUCAGAAUGCAUCCCUCAUUAUACUUGAAUUUUACCUACUGCCGUGCCAUUUUCCAAGCCCUGUCAUAUCAUUCUUGAGUUUGAUGCUCACAGAACCCAUAGAAACAACAAUGACGUCCUGCCACUUGACUGCUGGGCAGAAUGAAGGCCAGCGGGGUUGCCUGACUUGCUACAGUCACGCAGCUGCUGAGUGACAGAGCUGGGCCAUAAACCCAGGUCUCCAGGCUUCAGCCUCAGUGCUUCCUGUUUUGCAAACCCUGUUAUUAGGAGAGCUAAGUAAGAGCCACUAAAUAUCUUGCAAGAAGCAUUAAGUUGUCAAGCUUCUCAAAAUAGACAGUUCAGAAAUAGUCUGGCCCAAGUCAAAGGUCAAGAAAUGAGGCAUCACGAUGCUAGAAGGGCACCCCUCAACAUCUGUAUGAUGCAAAUCCACCUUGAGUCUCUUCCUCAUCACCUAUUUUCCAAAUAAACACACUGGGAUAUUGAGGUGCUGGAGAAUGGCACAAAGUGAAGAAAAUCCCAAGGUUUUCCCACUACUGGUUUCACUGUCAAUGAAAAGUAUGACUGAGUACCAGCCACUAGAGUCCCCUGGGAAGACGGGGGGAGAAGGUCAGCAGAAAAAAACAGUCCUGCCCUGGACCAGCAGGUGGAAACAGAGCCCCCAUGCAAACACACAUAAUCGGAGUCAAGGUCACUUCCCCUUUCUUCUGAGGACUCUGAUAGUGCCAUUCCUACAACAUGCACUUCUCAUAGACCCUUGCUUUAAUUCUUAAGAGUCAUGGCUUAUUUUAAAGCCAGAAUUUAACCCAUCUCCAAAGAUCCAUUUUAAAAGCCUCGGCACCAAUUUUGAGAGUGAAUAGCGCCCAAGUCCACACAAGCUUCCUUCCAUCUGGGGCAAGGGUUUUGUUUUCCGUUCUGUGUCUUUGCCUGGAAUCACAAGAAGCUCACAGAAAGAAGCAGUGUUCACGGAACACAAGCAUGAAGCAUGGCCUUUAUUUUCCAAUUCACUAUCCCAGCAUUCAGGGAAAUCAAAAGCAUAGCUCUGCAGAUGCCAGGCUCAUUAAUGAAAUGGGCUUUACACCCAAAAGAUGAAUGUGCCAUCAAGAAUCUGAGACAACACAUUUUGUGGUGAUAACACUCUCCUGGAUGAUGAAUCAGCAGCUGCACUGGUGGCCGCAUGCAUUUGCUUUCAGAAAUGCUAAUACCGAGGACUCUCCUGGUUACAAUCUGGGGGAUCCUUUCCAAUUCUCAACAAGUACCACUCUUUGGUUUGGGGUAAAACACAGCCUAAGCCUUGUCAAGGAAGCUUCAGACCACCCAGCCAAGCACUGAAAGCCAGAGAUUGUCAGCCCAGUCUGGAAAGAGGCACGGGGUCCUGCUCUAGGAACACAGCUCGUGAUCCCCCAGGGUAGCUCCAGCCAGGAGCACUCACUCCUGAGGUGGAGCGAGGCUAAUUAAGUUGCCAGAUGGACCCACCAUGCUAAACAAUUAACGGGCUGGUUUUCACCCUCUCAGUCCCAAAUGCUCCCAACCUUCCCUGGAAUGUCUGGCAGCCCCUGGAAAGAGAAGGGAGGGGGCAGAAGGCUUGUUAAGGAUUGGGAACUGUAGUGUUCUCUCACUGCAGGCUCUCAGUGCUGUUGACAUGCUGCCAUGGAUUGUUCUUUGUUAUGCAGAUAUAUUGGUUGGCUAGGCUUCCAGAAUAAACAUCACAAGCUGGAUGACUUAAAACAACAAUGCAUUCUCUCAUGGUUCUGGGGGUCCAAAGUCCA